GCAUAUAUACAUAUCACGGCGAAAGCACCGGUUCCCGUCCGAACACCGAGGUUAAGCAACGUCGAGUCUAGUGCGUUCUAAGAUGGGGGGAACGCUUGGGAAACGUAGGUGCUGUAAGCG
rnacentral:rRNA from 1 species